AUCUGCGCCGCCGGUUUGGAGACCUUAGACCAGCUUCUAACCGUCCU
rnacentral:rRNA from 1 species